rnacentral:lncRNA from 1 species
GCAGGACCCCUGUGUCCUCUCCACGCAUUCUGAGCGAAGGCUGGGAGCUGCUGCCAUCUGUGCUCUGGACCAUAAAACAAGUUUUCGUCAAUAAAUUAAGAUAGUGACUGAGAUGAGAAGUCAUUCUGCAACACAGAAGGGGCCAAUGCGAAUCUAAAGCAAGACUGGGUUCCCACCCAUUUCCCUGAGUUCCCUGUGCGCCAUUCGACCCAGGCUUCUAAGAGAAGGAGAGACUCGGAAGGUCACCUGCCUCCCUCUGGCCCCAUUACAUCCUUGAGGUGGGUAAGCCAAGGGUCACAGUGACAGGUAAGCCAGGCUUUCAGCAAUGCUCUGAGCCAAAAUAAUGACCCCAAUCGCUGUGUUAGACGAGCUAAAUCACUCAGACACUGCCUGCCCAAUGACUAACACUAUAAAACCUCCCUGCAAAUCAAAAUGCUCUUCCCCUGGAGCCUCCCCGCUCUUCAGCAUGAACCUUGGUUCUCGCAAAUGCGCCUUCCACACCUCUGCCUCCAGACCCUGCUCACAGCACAUCUUCCUACCCAAAAAGCCUUCCUUGUCUUCUCUGCCCUGUUCUCAAUCC